CUCUUGUCUGACACCACGUAAGAUGGCGCCUUUGCUUCUCCUUCACCUUCCUCCAUGACUGUGAGGCCUCCCCAGCCAUGUGGAACUGUGAGUCCAUUAAGCCUCUUUCCUUCAUAAAUUACCCGGUCUCAGGUAUGUCUUUAUUAGCAGUGUGAGAACAGACAAAUACACAGGGGAGGUUGGCCCACAUGCUGCCGACCGACAUCAUCUGUUUAAAGCUGACUCCUUGAAAAUCAGCUGUGAGUAAAGGGGGCGUUCCAAACUCAGGCCCUUAGAGCCAGCGUGUGUGGCCCAGUAGCCAGAGCACAGUAUGCCUCUCGGCCAGUGGGACCAGGGGCUGGGGCAGACCCCGAGCUGGAGCCUGCAUCCAGCCCCCGAACGUUCUCCCACUGCCAUCUACUUGGCCAAGAGGUACCUGACCAAGCUUGGUACCUUGGAGAAUGCCACAAAUAAAAAUUAGCCCAGCGGGGUUCCGGCAUCUACUUACUGCAAACCCUCACUUCCUUCACACGUGUCUCUGCAGGCAGGUCUGGUCUGGGGAGUUUCUGCCCAUAUCACAGGCAGAGUCUGACCCUCCAAUCCUUCUCUCAUUCUCAGGUUCACAAAGCUGAGUGAAGUCCAAACAGGAAAAGCCCAAAUAGAGCCACACUCAGACACACCACAACUCAGACACAUCACAACUCGGACACACCACAACUCAGACACACCACAACUCAGACACACCACAACUCGGACACACCACAACUCGGACACACCACAACUCGGACACACCACAACUCGGACACACCACAACUCGGACACACCACAACUCGGACACACCACAACUCGGAAACAUCACAACUGAGACACACCACAACUCAGAAACACCACAACUCAGACACACCACAACUCAGACACAUCACAACUCAGACACACCACAACUCAGACACACCACAACUCAGAAACAUCACAACUCAGACACACCACAACUCAGACACACCACAACUCAGAAACAUCACAACACAGACACAUCACACACUCAAGACACAUCACAACCUAACUUCUGAAAACUAAAGACAAAAAUAUAAAAGAACAACAAUUGAAAUGACUGCAAAUUUCCCAUUAGAAACCAUGGAAGCAGCUGCGCACAGUGGCUCACACCUGUAAUCCUAACACUUUGGGAGACUGAGGCAGAUGGAUAUCACCUGAGGCCAGGAGUUCGAGGCCAACCUGGCCAACAUGGCAAAAGCCCAUCUCUACUAAAAAUGCAAAAAUUAGCCAGGUGUGGUGCACACCUGUAGUCCCAGAUACUUAGGAGACUGAGGCAGGAGAAUCACUUAAACCUCAGAGGCGGAGGCUGCAGUGAGCCAAGAUCGCGCCACUGCACUCCAGCCUGCGCAACGGAGUGAAAAGAAAAAAGAAAAAAAGAAACCAUGGAAGCCAGGAAAAAGUGGCACUUUGAGACGGAGCCUUGGCUCACUGCAGCCUCCGCCUCCCAGGUUGAAACAAUUCUCCUUCCUCAGCCUCCUGAGUAGCUGGGAUUACAGGCGCCUGCAACCACGCCCAGCUAAUUUUUAUAUUUUUAGUACAGACGGAGUUUCACCAUGUUUGCCAUGCUGGUCUCAAACUCCUGACCUCAGGUGAUACGCCUACCUCAGCCUCCCAAAGUGCUGGGAUUACAGGCAUGAGCCACUACGCCCAACCUGGCACAUUGUUUAAUUGCUGAAAGAAAAUAAUUAUCAGUUCAGGAGUCUAUAUCCAGCAAAAAUAUCCUUCAGGGAUGAGGGUGAAAUGGAGACAUUCUCAGAUGAAGAAAAACUAAGAAAAUUUGCUGCCAGCACAUAUACCCUAAAAGAAUGCCUAAAAGAGUUUUUUCAGAUAGAAAAACAUCAGGAAUGAAGGAAGAGCAACAAAAAUGAUAAAUAUUGAGGAAAUGUAAUAGACUGUUCUUCAGUUCUUUAAAAUAAUGUUUGAUGAUGAAAAGCAAGUACUGUAGUAUUGUUGGGCGGAGUUUCAGCACAUGCAGAUGUAUCAACUAAGACGGACUGCAGCAUGAAAGAUGCAGGUCCAGGAAGCUACACGGUGGCAAGAGUUCCACAAAACACUUGAAAUGCUAAAAUACUGAUUCCAAGGAGACUGUGAAAGGUGAAGUAUGCAUAUGGUAAUCCCCAGAAAACCAGUAAAUAUUCUACAGAGCUAUAUCAUCAACAACACAAUAGGUAGCUUAACAUACUGAAAAAUGUUCAAAUAACCAAAAGACAGGAAUGAAAAGACAAAAGAACAAAAAAAUGGAGGAAAUAAGCAGAAAACAAAUAAUAAAAUGGUAGGUUUGAAUCCAAACAUAUCAAUAAUGACAUUAAAUGUAACUGGUCUAAAUUAAAAGACAGAGACCUGGUGCCAUGGCUCGUACCUGUCAUCCCAGCACUUUGGGAGGCCAAGGCAAGAGGAUCACUUGAGGCCAGGAGUUCAAGACCAGCCUGGGCAAUACAGUGGGACGCUGUCUCUACAGAUUUUUUUUUUAAUUACCCAGGCAUAUGGUGUGCGCCUGUGGUCCCAGCUAGUCAGGAGGCCAGGGUGGGAGGAUCGCUUGAGCCCAGGAGGUCGAGGCUGCAGUGAUGUGAUCAUGAUACUGUACUCCGGCCUGGGCAACAGAGUGAGACCGUAUCUCUACAAAAAAAAUUAAAAAUUAAAAAAGACAGAUGGUCACAAUGGAUUUCUUUAAAUGACCCACCUAUAUUUCUACCCUCAAGAAACUCACUUCAAAGAUAAUAUUGGUAGGUCAGUGUUAAAAGGAUAGAAAAAGAUAUAUCAUCAUGCAGGCACAAAUUUUAAUAAACUGAACUGCCUAUAUUAAUAUCAGAUAAAGUGGACUUCAGAGAAAAGAAAAUUAUCGGCAGCAAAGAGGUAAAUUACGUGAUGAUAAAAGGGUCAAUUCAGCCUGUAAUCUCAGCACUUUGGGAGAGGAUGGUCAUCGAGACCAUCCUGGCUAACACGGUGAAACCUCGUCUCUACUGAAAAUACAAAAAAAAAAAAAAAAAGCCGGGCAUGGUGGCGGGCGCUGUAGUCCCAGCUACUCGGGAGGCUGAGGCAGGAGAAUGGCGUGAACCUGGGAGGUGGAGCUUACAGUGAGCAGAGAUCACGCCACUGCACUCCAGCCUGGGCGACAGAGCGAGACUCUGUCUGAAAAAAAAAAAAAAAGGGUCAAUUCACCAAAAAGAUAUAACAAUCCUGAGUGUGUGUACAACUUAGAACACAGGUUCCAAGUAUGUGAAGCAAAACCCAUGAGACAGAAAUGGAAUAAAUCCGGAAUUAUAGUUGGAGACCUCAACACUUCUGUCCCAGAGCAAACAGACAGAAAAUCAUCAAGGGCAUAGAACUGAACAUCACCAUCAACCAACUUGAUCUAAUUGAAUUUAUGGAACACUCCACCCAACCAGAGCAGAAAACAAAGACUUCUCAAGGGCACCUGGAACAUUUACCAAGAGAGGCGGGUGAUGCCCAGAGUCAUUAAAAAAUCUUAGGCCAGCCAGGCGUGGUGUCUGGUGCCUGUAAUCCUGGCACUUUGGGAGGACAAGGUGGGAGGAUUGCUUGAGGCCAGGAGUUCAAGGCCAGCCUGGGUGACAUAGUGAGACCCUGUCUCUAUUUUUUUUAAUCUUAAAUAAAUCUGAAAGAAAUGAAUCAUACGAAGUAUGUUCUCUGAUUAUAAUGAAAUUAAACUAGUUAUAACAGAGAUACAUGCUUAAAAGUUAAGCACUGUACUGCUUAAAAGCUGGUUAAAAGUUAAGCACCGUACCACUAAAUAAUCCAGAAAGAGAAAGUCUCUAGGGAAUUUAAAGAUAAUAUUUAACUGAACAAAAAUGAAAAUAUAUAAAAACCUGAAGUAUGUAACUAAAGUAGUGAUUGGAGGAAAAGUUACAACACUAAAUGUCUAUAUUACGAAAGAAGAAAGAUCUCAAAAGAAUAAUCCAAGCUUUCACCUCAAGAAAUUAUUUUGAGACAGCAAAAUAAACCCAAAGCAAGUAGAACAAAGGAACAGAAAUCAAUGAAACUUAAAACAUGAUGGAGAAAAUCAGUGGAAAGAGAGCUGGUUUCUGAGACAAUUAAUAAAAUCAUAAAACUUUAGCAAAAUUGACAAAAAAUGAGAGAAUAAAUAAUAUCAGGAAUAAAAGAAGGGAUAUCAAAAUUAUAGACUCUGUAGACGUUAAAAGGAAAACAGAAUACUACAAAUCUACACACACAGAUUCAACACAUUGCAUGAAAUUAACCAAUUACUCAAAAACAGCAAGCUACCAAAACAUCUCCAAGUGGAACAGAUAAUCCAAAUAGUUCUAUAACUCUUAAAUAAAUGGAAUUUCUUUAAUAAAUUCCUUAGUUAACAUGCCUUCCAAAAAAGAAAUAUCCAGGCCCGGAUGGUUUCACCAUCUGGUGAAUUCUACCAAACAUUUAAAGAGGAAAUAGUACCAAUUCCAUCUAAUAUCUUCCAGAAAAUAGAAGAAAGAGCACUUCCUGUGUGAUUAUAUGAAACCAAUAUUACCCUGACACCAAAAGAAGACAAAAACAACAUUUUAAAAUGGCACACUAAUAUCUGUCAUGAACAAAGAUGCAAAAAUCAUCAACAAACUUAGCAAAUCGAAUACAGAAAUAUAUAAAAAUAAUUAUAAGCCAUGAUCAUGUAGGAUUUAUUCCAGGAAUGCAAAUGCUCUUCGACAGUUGACGGGGUAAAUAAACUUGGACAUCCACACAGGGAAUACUACUCGGUAACAUGAAGGAACAACUAUUGAGACAUGCAACAAUUUAAUGGAUCUUAAAUGCAUUAUACUCAAUGAAAAAGGCCAAUCUCUCUCUCUCUUUUUUUCUCUCUCUCUAUAUGUAUAUAUUUUAUCCUAUAUAGUUUCAUUUACAUAAUAUUCUUGAAAUAACAAAGUUGUAGAGCUAGAGAACAGAUAAGUAGUUGCCAGGGGUUAGGGUUUGAGGCAGAAUGUGACUGAAAAAUGAAUGAAAAAGUCAUAUAUCCCGACUGUGAUCAUAGCUGCACAAAUCCAUAAGUUUGUGAACUACGAACAGAAAAAAUACAUGUGAAAAACUGACAAAAUCUGAACAAGAUCUGUAGCUCAGUGAACAGUUUGGUACCAAUGUCAGUUUCUUGGUUUUGAUAUGCUUUGAUUUUGAUAGUUAUGUAGAUAAUAUUGAAAGCACUGGUUGAAGAGCAUAUGAGAACUCUGUACGUUCUUUGCAACUUCUCUGUGAGCUCUAAAAUUAUUUCAAAAUUCAAACUUUUUUUAAAAAAAAGGCUGGGUAUGGUGGCUUCUGCCUGUAAUCCCAGGACUUUGGGAGGCCGAGGUGGGAGGAUUGCUUGAGCCCAGGAGUUCAAGGUGAGCCUGGGCAACAUGGCAAAACCUCAUCUCUAAAAAAAAAUACAAAAAGUUAAAAAAAAAAAGGGGGGGAGAAAUAAUUAGAACAGAUACUGCCUGAAAGAAGAUACACAUGCAAUUGGCCAGUGAGCUCAGGAACCAGAGCUCAGACCCAACCACCAUCAGGGACACCCAGAGGAGAACCGCGAUCAGAGCCCACGGCACACCCACAACCAUAGUGGAAACUUCAGGCAAGUGUUUACUGAGGAUGUGGAAGAAUCGGAACUCUCAGGCACCACUUGUGAGAAUGUAAGAUGGUGCAACCGCCCUGGGAAACCAGCAGCUUCACAGGAAGUUAAACACGCAACUGCCUCGUACCCCGGCCACUCGAGUCCACGCGUUUACCCACAAGAAACAGAAGGACACAUCCUCACCAAGGCUCAGGCCCAAGUGUUCACAGCAGGCUUCAUCACAAUGGACCCCAAACCAGAGCAACUGUGGCACAGCCAUGCCAGGGGACAUUCGGCAAUCACAGGUGUUUUUUAUUUUUUAUUUUUUUGUUUUUGUUUUUUUGAGAUGGGAGUCUCACUCUGUCGCCCAGGCUGGAGUACUAUGGUGUGAUCUCAGCUCACCGCAUCCCCUGCCUCCCAGGUUCAAGCAAUUCUCCGGCCUCAGCCUCCGGAGUAGCUGGGAUUACAGGUGCCCGCCACCGUGCCCAGCUGAUUUUUGUGUUUUUAGUAGAGAUGGGGUUUCACCAUGUUGGCCAAGCUGGUCUUGAACUCCUGACUUCAGGUGAUCUGCCCACCUCGGCCUCCCAAAGAGCUGGGAUUAUAGGCGUGAGCCACCACCGGCCCGGCAAUCGAACUUGGAUGCACCUCAAAAACAAAUGCCGAGGCCAGAAGAGUCCAUAUUGUCUUACUCCACCACAGGAAAGCCACACACAAACCCAUCCAUGGUGACAAAGUGCCAGUCAGUGAUUGUAUGAGGUGGGGCGGUUUGUUGCGGAUGAUAUGAGGGGUCUUUUUGGGGUGAUGGAUGUUACUGAUGAUAUGAGGGGUCUUUUUGGGGUGAUGGAUGUUACUGAUGAUAUGAGGGAUCUUUUUGGGGUGACAGAUGCUGUGGAUGAUAUGAGGGAUCUUUUUGGGGUGAUGGAUGUUACUGAUAUGAGGGAUCUUUUUGGGGUGAUGGAUGUUACUGAUAUGAGGGAUCUUUUUGGGGUGAUGGAUGUUACUGAUGAUAUGAGGGAUCUUUUUGGGGUGAUGGAUGUUACUGAUGAUAUGAGGGGUCUUUUUGGGGUGAUGGAUGUUACUGAUGAUAUGAGGGAUCUUUUUGGGGUGAUGGAUGUUACUGAUGAUAUGAGGGGUCUUUUUGGGGUGACGGAUGUUACUGAUGAUUUGAGGGGUCUUUUCGGGGUGAUGGAUGUUACUGAUGAUAUGAGGGGUCUUUUUGGGGUGAUGGAUGUUACUGAUGUGAGGGAUCUUUUUGGGGUGUGGAUGCUGCAGAUUGUAUGAGGGAUCUUUUUGGGGUGAUGGAUGUUACUGAUGAUAUGAGGGGUCUUUUUGGGGUGACGGAUGUUACUGAUGAUAUGAGGGGUCUUUUUGGGGUGAUGGAUGUUACUGAUGAUAUGAGGGGUCUUUUUGGGGUGAUGGAUGUUACUGAUGAUAUGAGGGAUCUUUUUGGGGUGACGCUGCGGAUGGUAUGAGGGAUCUUUUUCGGGUGAUGGAUGUUACUGAUGAUAUGAGAGGUCUUUUUGAGGUGAUGGAUGUUACUGAUGGUAUGAGGGGUCUUUUUGGGGUGAUGGAUGUUACUGAUGUGAGGGAUCUUUUUGGGGUGAUGGAUGCUGCAGAUGGUAUGAGGGAUCUUUUUGGGGUGAUGGAUGUUACUGAUAUGAGGGAUCUUUUUGGGGUGAUGGAUGUCACUGAUAAGAGGGAUCUUUCUGGGGUGAUGGAUGCUGCAGAUGAUAUGAGGGAUCUUUUUGGGGUGAUGGAUGUUACUGCUGACAUGAGGGGUCUUUUUGGGUGAUGCAUGUUACUGAUGAUAUGAGGGAUCUUUUUGGGGUGACAGAUGCUGCGGAUGGUAUGAGGGAUCUUUUUGGGGUGAUGGAUGUUACUGAUUAUAUGAGGGGACUUUUGGGGUCAUGGGUGUUACUGAUAUGAGGGGUCUUUUUGGGGUGAUGGAUGCUGCAGAUGGUAUGAGGGGUCUUUUUGGGGUGGUGGAUGUUACUGAUGAUAUGAGGGGUCUUUUUGGGGUGAUGGAUGUUACUGAUGAUAUGAGGGGUCUUUUUGGGGUGAUGGAUGUUACUGAUGAUAUGAAGGGUCUUUUUGGGGUGAUGGAUGUUACUGAUGAUAUGAGGGGUCUUUUGGGGUGAUGGAUGUUACUGAUGAUAUGAGGGAUCUUUUUGGGGUGAUGGAUGUUACUGAUGAUAUGAGGGAUCUUUUUGGAGUGAUGGAUGUUCUCUGUCUUGAUUGUGUUCAUGGUCACACAGUUAUAUAAAUUUGCCAGAACUCAUCAAGCUAUACACUUUAAGUGGGUGCAUCUUCCUGUAUGUAAACGGCACCUCCCCAGAGAUGAUUCUUCAAAGCCCUCCUCCUUUUCUAACCUCCUCCUGGGCUUGCUGUAACUUUGUGGUCCCUGACAGCUGCACCCACCGCCCUCCAUGCCCUCUACCCUGCUGACCAACUCCCCGUCCACCUUCUCCCAGUUGGCCCAGCUCAAGGGGCAGCCCCCUGCAUCGAAAGCAGUUAGGGCCUCCUCCUCCGGCACCACCUGGGAAAAGGUGACUGUGGCCUCUGGAAAGGCUUCCUGGCUCCGGUUGCCAGGAAGAGGCAUUCGCACUGCCUCCCUCCUCUGUCCCAGACAGCCCCAGGGCCUCUCACUAAGCCCAGCUGGCCGAAUCCGUGCAAAGCUCCUCUCCAAACCGACUUGAGUAACUUCUCUGGCUGAAAAUGGGAAGCAGUUGCAUAACCAGACAUCUGCGGAUCCAAUUCCUGAGAAAAUGUAGGCAGAUGCGCCGGACAGUUAGGAGAGGCCCUGAGAAGAUGAAGACACGGGCCGGAGGCCACACUUGGCCUGUCUCCCGUUGGCCUGACACAUUUUGCAGCUGCUUAUCAGGGGGUUAGGAGAACGCUGAAUAGGAGGCUGGGGAGGCCAAUUCCACAGCGUAUGACACACGCGUACCACUGCUUCCAAGGGAAUUCAUCAAACCAGUUCUUUGCGUAAUCGCCUAAUGCUUCCUCCUGGGGGAGGGGAUUUGUUUAUUGAUCUUCUUCCCUUCCUAUAGAUCUGUUGUUCAUAGGCAUGAGGUGAACACGCGCAUUUUCCAGCCAGGAGAACGUUCCGCUCAGCACGCACACCUGGAGACAGCCCAGCCCUGAGCAGGAAAUGCCUGCUGGGCUUGAAGAGGGCUUCCUGGGGUGUGAUGGAUGAUUGGGUUCUUUUUAAAGAAUAGGAGGCCCCAGUCAGCUUUCCAAGUCCCACACACAGGAGGUCGGGGGGACAGGCCCCUGGCCAGCUCCCAUCCUGCUGUGGUCCCAGCACCCCCAGACCUCCCGGCAGCUGACCCAGACUCUUGGGACCUGGCACCCUCAUCCCUGGAGGUCAACACUCCAAUGUCCGCUGGGCGUCUGACCUGGAGGACAGGGCUCCAAGGCACAGCCCAUGGCUGAGAGUGAAGAAACGGCGCCCUCAUGGCGGACCCUCCACCAAGCGGCCAGUGAACGAAGUGUGUUUGUACGGGAGGGCUUCCAGCCGCCGCGACCCCCACCAUCGAGAAACCAUCCUCUGGGCCCACCGCAGAACUCACUGUGCCCACAGCGGGGCUCUCUGGGGAGGGUCCUCGGAGCACAGUGGCGAGUGGACGGCACCCUGACCAUCCCGGGCAGGCUUUCCAAACUCGGCUGGUGGACAGCUUCCCUGCUGGGUCCCUGAAGUGAGGCCAGGUCACCCACAAGCCAGGAGCAUUGGCCGCACCCUGGCAGCCCUUGGCAUCCUCUCUCAUUGGGGCGUCACGUUGUCCCAGGGAGCCAGGCUGGUGACACUGGGGUCUGGAAAGAGGGGCCUAGCCCUGUCACACACACUGUCAGCCCUCCAAGGUGGCACGGGGACGGCGAGGCCGACAGCUGCUUGUGCGGAACUGGGCUGGUCCCAUCGGCUCUGGAAUCAGACCCCCUGAGGCUUGGAAAUAAGAUGGACCGGGGUCAGGCGAUGCUCAGUUGAAGGCAGACACCGCUCCCCACUUUGCUCCACAAGCACAAGCUCUUCCCAGCCAAGGCACAGCAGGGCAGGGGCCGCCAGGCACAGUGAAGGGGGCCAGGGCCUGCAGUCCCCCAUCCAGAGCUGGGCAGGGAGCCAUGCAGGCUGCGAGGUGGGGUGGCUGCUGCAGCUCCCAAGGGGUCUGGUGUGGACUAGAGGGCGAGUGGAGAACCUGGGACCUCUGCAGGGCGCACAGCCAUUUCCACACACAGCCCACUUCAGACCACUUGCUGCGGUGGUCACUGGUGGUCAGCCCAUAGCAAAGCGUCUGGCCCUGUGCCCCCACCCUGCCAGCACCAGGCUGGACAGUCCCCAGCGGCUGCACGGUGGCCUGGGCAGCUGUGAUGGGAGAGGCCCCCACAGACGAGGCCCCAAGUCGGCUCCUGGCUCUGCCCUGGACCGGCUCUGGGUUCUCGAGAGGCUGGCCCAGCCCUGCGCUGCUCUGAGCCAUGCGGACCCCGUGGGGAGGACCCCAUACUGCAGAUCCCUCACCGGUAGCCCCCACUCCAGGCCAGACUGAAACACCGCGGUGGGCUCCUGGAGCACCCCCCACGCCCGGGGCUGGCUGGCCUGGGAGGAGGGGACACAAGAACUUGGGACGGCAGUUCUCAAAAUGCAGUCUGGGGACCGCAGAGGUUCCUGAGAUGCUCUGGGGGGUCUGUGAGGCCAAACUUAUUUUGAUGAUGAAACUGACACAUUAUCCGUCUUUCUCAUUCUCGCUCUCACGAAUGUUCCAAGUACAAAACCCACGAUGCAGUUUCAGAUCUCACGUCCCAACAGACCUUUAAGACAGGACCACUUGUUGUGUUUGGGGAUCGAAUCGAAGCUUAUCCACAGUUAUCUGAGAGGACUGCCGAGGCACUCCUCCCUCCAAGUGCGCGGUGAGGCCAGACUUUCCACAGAUUUGCCCAAAACCCCAUUGCAGUGGCUUGAACACAGAAGCAGCUCCGAGAACCAGCUGUCUCCCGUGAAGCCAGACACCGAACAGACUGGAAAAGGGAAAAACAGUGCAUAUUCCUCACAGAUCUUCCGUUCGGGAAACGAUAAUUUAAUUGUUUUAAUUAAAAACAUAAUAUGUGAAAAUGUAGUGGGUUUAUCCUUGUUAAUGUGAAACGGAUCGAUACAUCAGUAUUUUUGGAUUUCUGUUUUAAUUUCUGAUAUAAUCAAUGUUGAUAGACAUAACUUGUGCAAACAAAGCUCUUCACGGUCUCCCAAGAUCUGUGGGUGUGGGGUGGGAUCGUGAGACCACAGUGUGGGGAGCAGGUCCCUCGGUCACCGUCCAGGCUCGGCAGCCCCUCGGCACGGGGCAUCCGCGUCCAGAGUCCUACAAGAAGGAGCCUCAGAGAACAGAGCCCCUGGCGCCCCAGCGUGAGAAGCUUCCAAUGCUUUCUCAGCAUCUUUUUCCAGAUAAAAAUGCCAGCCCUUCCUCUCCAAAGAUCUGAACCGCCUAGGGUUUUCUUGGCCUGGCAUCACGCCUUCCCUCAUCCGGCACCAACCCUUCCCUCCCGUCUCUAUGGUUUCUCCCGCUCUUUAUCCUCACAGCCCUGUGGAAAGACAUGGUCUGUGUGCCUGGAAAACGAUGCAAGGCCGUGGUGCCUGUGACGUCCUCAGACUCACACCCCAAUGCGGGGGACUGAACGUUUGUGUUCUCCCCAGUUCACAGGUUGAAGGCCUUGCCCCCAGUGCAGCUGUGUCUGGACACUGGGCCUCUGGGAAGUGAUGAUGGUUAAAUGAUGUCAGGAGGAUGGAGCCCGGGUCGGCUACGGCUGUGGCCCCAGUGACGCCGGUGUACUCAGGCGCCUGCCAGCUGGGAAGAGGCCUCACCAAGCCCAGCCCUGCAGCACCUUGGCCUUGGCCUUCCAGCCUCCGGAUGCGAGAGGAUAAAUGUCUCCUGCUGAAGCCGCCAGGUCUGUGUUCUCCUUGUGGCUGCAGCAGCCGCACUAAGACACUGGCCACACCUGGUUUCUCCACAGCCGCUGCAGCCACGAGGAGAAGGCCACCCUCUCGCGUUCAAACACAGGUGCACCCACCGUGGAACCACAGCCACAGUGGAGCUGUGGAAUGUGCCCGUCACCCACAGCCCGCCUCUGAGUCACUGCCGUCACCCACAGCCCUGCCCCGACCCACAGCCUGCGUCUCAGUCACUGCCCAUCACCCACAGCCCUGCAUCUCAGUCACUGCCCGUCACCCACAGCCCUGCCUCUCAGUCCCUGCCGUCACCCACAGCCCUGCCUCUCAGUCACUGCCCGUCACCCACAGCCCUGCCUCUCAGUCACUGCCCGUCACCCACAGCCCUGCCUCUCAGUCACUGCCCGUCACCCACAGCCCUGCCUCUCAGUCCCUGCCGUCACCCACAGCCCUGCCUCUCAGUCACUGCCCGUCACCCACAGCCCUGCCUCUCAGUCCCUGCCGUCACCCUGGCUGCUCCUGGAGUUGCACAGAAAUGGAAUUGUGUGCUUGGAUGCCUCCGUGCCCAGCCCCUGUCCCUCCGCGAUUCCUCCUUGCUGCUUUGCGGAGCAGUUGUUGGCCGCUCACAGCUGGGCAGGGCCCGUCCUGGCAACAGACCCCUCCUGCUGCGGUGGUUCCCUCGGUGGUGGACGGGGCUGUCGGCACAUUUUAGCUGUCACCAAUAAAGCUGCUGUGAACAUCCCUGUACACGUCGUUGUGUGGAAUGAGUUUGGUGUGUCUUAGGGAACUCCUUGGGAGUGGAAUGCCUGAGUCACCAGGUGAGGACAAACUCAGCCUUUUAUGAAACUGCCAAGUGGUUGUGACACUUAAACUCCCACCAGCACUGUGUCAUCGUCUGGCAGCCCUGCAACCCCCCAACGUCUGGUAUCUUUUUAAUUUGAGAUGUUCCAGUGGGUAUGUAUUGGUGUGUCACCGUGGUUUUAAUUCACGUUAAAUUAACUACUUGGGCUACACACACACACACACACACACGCACGCAUAUAUUUGGUAUUAUACCAAUACCACGGUCUUAUUUACUAUAGCUUUAUAGUAAGUCUUAAAAUUAAGUAGUUUAAAACAUACAACUUUGUUCUAAGAUUACUUUAUUCAAAGCCUUUUGAAUUACCAUAUACAUAUUAGAAUCAGCUUUUUGAUGUCCAUGAAAAAGACACUGAUUGGCAUCACAUUAAAUCCAAAUAUCAAAGAUUUAAUGAGUUUUGAGGAAAAACUCUAAGCUUAAAAAGUAGGGUUUCCUAAUUCGUGAAUACAAUAUAUUUCUCUACUUUUUAGGUCUUUAAUUCUCAGCAAUGAUUUUUAGUACGCAAUGUACUGAUCUUGUCGUAUUUUCUUUUUUUCUUUCUUCUUUUUUUGAGACAGGGCUUCUCUCUGUCGCCCAGGCUGGAGUACAGGGAUGCGAUCUUGACUCACUGCAGCCUCAACCUCCUGGACUCAAGCCAUUCUCCCCCCUCAGCCUCCCCAGUAGCUGGGACUACAGGCGCCCACCACCACGCCCGGCUAAUUUUGUAUUUUUUGUAGAGACUGGGGUUUCUCCACCUCAUCCAGACUGGUCUUAAACUCCUGGGCUCAAGCAAUCCACCCACCUCAGCCUCCCACCGUGCUGAGAUUAUAGGCAUGAGCCACCGCGCCUGGCCUAUUUUCUUAGAUUUAUCCCUAAGUAAUACAUUUUCUUUGAUGCUAUUGUAAGGCCUUUCUUUGAUGCUACAAUAAGUCCUUUUAAAUUUCUCAUUUUCCAGUUAUUCACUUUCACUGCCAGAAUAUGCGAUGGGCUCUCGGGUAUGCAGUGUGCCAGUCAGCCCCACCCUGACACAGCGGAGCAGAGAGAGACGGUCCUGACGGAGCAGGCCAGGGAUCAGCACCGCCCACUGGGCCUCUGACCCCUCUGACCCAUGACCUCCAAGCCCUGCGGUCAGUCUGUGCCCAGGCCCAGUCUGUGCUGGAGCCCUCCCUGCAGCCCCCUCUGGCAGGACUUCAGAGGGAUCCCCAGCUCCUGGCCCACAUGGCCGCAUCUGGCCCAAACACACAUUCCUUUCGCCACUCUCCUCUGAAUGGAAUCUGGCUUGCCCCGCACAGCCUCUGCCUCCCUCUGCCCCGCACAGCACCCUCCCUCCCUCUGCCCCGCAUAGACCCUCCCUCCCUCUGCCCCGCACAGCCCCCUCCCUCCCUCUGCCCCACGCAGACCGCCUGCCUCCCUCUGCCCCGCACAGGGAUCCUGCAGGUUCAGGGUGGAGUGGCCUAGCCCAAGCCCUCAGCCUUUCCUUGUGAGUCUGGGUGACUUCUGAAGGGGCUGAGAACCGCUUAGUGGUCUGGACCCUCCCUUGGGGGCUUAUGAGCCAUCACACCUCGGUCCUGCCAUGGAGACCUCCGGCUGACAUCUCCUCAGAGCCUCCCUGGUGUCCAGAGCCCCAGCAGGCAGUGCUAAGCCGGCCACACUGAAGGCCAGGAGGCAGCGCACGGGGACGCUGGAGGAGCACCUGGUGAGCUGGGAGGCGAGGCCCUGGGACGGGACAAGUAGCAGACGUCUCAGCGCACACAGGCUCCUGCCGGACCCGGAGGGGCUCUCUGUUCCAUGUGGUCCUCCAGGGAUUCGGGCUCCUUGGCCCUGAGGGCUCUGCCCACCUAGCACCUUGGGGCUGUUCCUUGAACCCCCUGCCCCCUAGGGUGGGGACAGGAAUACGUAUUACUUAGGGAUAAAUCUAAGAAAAUAGGCCAGGCGUGGUGGCUCACACCUGUAAUCCCAGCACUUUGGGAGGUCGAGGUGGGUGGAUUGCCUGAGCCCAAGAGUUUAAGACUGGCCUGGGCAACAUGGUGAAACUCCCGUGUAGACCGUCUCUACAAAAAGUACAAAAAUUAGCAGCUGGGCGUGGUGGGAGCUGGGCCGAGGGUCAGGCCUGGAGGUGGUGCCCAUCACUGGGUCCCGCUCAAGAGAGAAGAGGCUGGGAAGCCAGGUGCAGCUGUGUGCCCACAGGCGGGUGAGACAGGACUGGGCCUGGAUCCCGCACCCGCUCGCCGCGCAGCUCAGCGCAAGCGGCCUCCGGGGGCCUCCUCUCUGCAAGGGGAGCGCGCGCCCGGCCCUGACCCUGCCUGCUGAUUCUCUGGAAGGUUCAUGUCCGGGACUCCUCGGUGACCCUGGGCAGAGCCACCCACAUGCGCUGCCUCCCCUCCCACCGCCUGACAGGUCUGGAGAUGCCCAGAGACUUCUGGCAUCCACCAGCAGCGAGGAGCGUCCCUCCCGCAAGGCUUGGCCUUUCCCCUCCAGCUUUGGCACAGGACGCGUUGGUCUGCCGUUUCUUUUGUGCACAACCAUCAGUCAUGAUGUCAGCCCUGAGCUGGGGCCACAGAACCCUGAGCAAAGUGGGACAUAAUGGAAAGCAAACAAAAAAGAAAGAAAAUGAUGGUUUCAAACUAAAAACCUGAGUUCACAUAGCGAUAGAUUUAAAACUAUUUUAGAAAACACUCAUUAUCUCCCUGGCCUAUUUUUUAUUAAAUUGACCAAAUCUGUGGAUACUCAAUUGCUUGUGAUGACUGCAAGCGCGCAUCCGAGUCCCCAGGGAGGCAGCUUCCCUUCGCUCUUCGCCAGCGCCCCUCAGUCCUAACUUUGAGGAGGGCACACGUGAGAUUUCCUUUUACCAACAGAGAAUCUCCAAAUCCAGCCUUUUACCAGAAGCCUCUCCGAGAAACUGGGGUGAGUAAAUCGCCGCUGCUGCUGCCACCUUCAGAGAGGCCUUGGGCGCCCGCCCCGACAGCCCCACACGGUCCCGGAACUCGGGCCAGGCAACGCCCUCUCCUCCGUGCGGGGCUUAGUCAUCGCCGUGCCGCUUGGCAGUGGUCUGUGGCCCCCUCAAAAUGUUUCCAUUUAUGGAGAGAACGUGGCCUUCCAGAUUUGCUGGCACAGAUGGGAAAGCUCAAGCGCUCGGGCGGCCUCAGGGUUUCUCUCAAGGGCAGCAGAGGUCAGGGCCUGCAGGCUGGAUGGAAGCUCCCCGCCCGGCCCGGGGGUCUCUGUGCUGCUGCGCUCCCGCCCGGCUCCUUCACAAACCUCCACCAAGUGUGGGACGUGGGCGUGGGGGGGUGGGCGGUGCCCACCCUGAUGGGCACUGUGGUCGUCCACUGGUUCUGUUUGUUUAAAGUCUGGGCCUGAAGGCCUGCAUGUCUCACCACACAGGACCCUCCCUGCCCGUGACGGGUGGCAGAUGGGGUGUAGGCAGCCCCCGUGCUGCCCCUUCCCCAACCCGGGGGUGCACUUGUGUCGGGGCUGGGGUGGCCGUAGUGGCCCUAGAUGUCUGCAGCUGGUGGGCAAAGGCAACACACCCUAAACCCACACCUGGCCCUCGGGCCCACCACGGUGCACGCACCCAGCAGCUGAAACUGCCUGGCUCCCCCAGCGUCUCUCCCAGGACCACAGCCCCCCAGCGACCGCUCAGCACUUCUGUGGCUUCGGCGGCAGCGCCCGCGGCUUCCUGUCACUCUCCCAGCUGGCUGAAGGCACAGACCCUCAGCUUCC
rnacentral:lncRNA from 1 species